CCUGUAGUAGUAGUUGAAGCCGGUGGUGUGAGUUACCUGCAGUAGUAGUUGAAGCAGGUGGUGUGAGUUACCUGUAGUAGUAGUUGAAGCAGGUGGUGUGAGUUACCUGUAGUAGUAGUUGAAGCCCGGUGGUGUGAGUUACCUGUUGAAGCCGGUGGUGUGAGUUGCCUGUAGUAGUAGUUGAAGCCGGUGGUGAGUUACCUGUUGAAGCCGGUUGUGUGAGUUACCUGUAGUAGUAGUUGAAGCCGGUGGUGUGAGUUACCUGUAGUAGUAGUUGAAGCCGGUGGUGUGAGUUACCUGUAGUAGUAGUUGAAGCCGGUGGUGUGAGUUGCCUGUAGUAGUAGUUGAAGCAGGUGGUGUGAGUUACCUGUAGUAGUAGUUGAAGCCGGUGGUGUGAGUUACCUGCAGUAGUAGUUGAAGCAGGUGGUGUGAGUUACCUGUAGUAGUAGUUGAAGCAGGUGGUGUGAGUUACCUGUAGUAGUAGUUGAAGCCGGUGGUGUGAGUUACCUGUAGUAGUAGUUGAAGCCGGUGGUGAGUUGCCUGUAGUAGUAGUUGAAGCAGGUGGUGUGAGUUACCUGUAGUAGCAGUUGAAGCCUGGUGGUGUGAGUUACCUGUAGUAGUAGUUGAAGCCGGUGGUGAGUUACCUGUAGUAGUAGUUGAAGCAGGUGGUGUGAGUUACCUG